GAUCAUGGCUCAGGAUUAACGCUGGCGGCGUGCCUAAUACAUGCAAGUCGAAUGGUAGCAAUACCAUGGCGAACGGGUGAGUAACACGUAGGUAACCUGUCUUUAAGCCGAGGAUAACCAUUGGAAACGAUGGAUAAUACUGGAUAGGACAUUUGAAGGCAUCUUUAGAUGUUUAAAGAUUUAUCACUUAGAGAGGGGCCUGCGGCGCAUUAGCUAGUUGGUGAGGUGAAGGCUUACCAAGGCGAUGAUGCGUAGCCGGACUGAGAGGUUGAACGGCCACAAUGGAACUGAGAACGGUCCAUACUCCUACGGGAGGCAGCAGUAGGGAAUUUUCGGCAAUGGGCGGAAGCCUGACCGAGCAACGCCGCGUGAACGAAGAAGUAUUUCGGUAUGUAAAGUUCUUUUAUUAGGGACGAAAAGACAGAUUGACGGUACCUAAUGAAUAAGCUCCGGCUAACUACGUGCCAGCCGCUGC
rnacentral:rRNA from 1 species